AGCGAACGCUGGCGGCAGGCUUAACACAUGCAAGUCGAGCGGGCACUUCGGUGUCAGCGGCAGACGGGUGAGUAACACGUGGGAACGUACCCUUCGGUUCGGAAUAACGCUGGGAAACUAGCGCUAAUACCGGAUACGCCCUUUUGGGGAAAGGUUUACUGCCGAAGGAUCUGCCCGCGUCUGAUUAGUUAGUUGGUGGGGUAAUGGCCUACCAAGGCGACGAUCAGUAGCUGGUCUGAGAGGAUGAUCAGCCACACUGGGACAGAGACACGGCCCAGACUCCUACCGGAGGCAGCAGUGGGGAAUAUAGGACAAUGGGCGCAAGCCUGAUCCAGCCAUGCCGGGUGAGUGAUGAAGGCCUUAGGGUUGUAAAGCGCUUUUGUCCGGGACGAUAAUGACGGUACCGGAAGAAUAAGCCCCGGCUAACUUCGUG
rnacentral:rRNA from 1 species